ACCAAGCCAGGCAAGGAGCCCCUCAUGCAGCUUAUGUUCUAAUCAGGGAGACAGACGAUAAAUAGAUACUCACCCUCCAAGAGCACCUCAUCUGUGCCCAGACCUGAGCUGGUCUAAUUCCUUCUCACAAUAAUGCUGCUGGAUUCAGGGGUAUCAGGCCCAGUUUCCAAAGAGGAAGGCUCAGGGACAGAGGGGAGGUCACCUUUCAAGGCCACGUGGCUUAAGAGGCAGCAUGGAGAUUCAGACCCAGGUUAGUAGGAUCCCGUCACACCCCCCAAAGGGAGCUUAGGGGGCUUCCAAUGUGAACACACCACCUACCAAGAGCAAGCUCUGAGCAUAGCCCCCUCCCCAGCACAGCAGCACCCACAAGUUACAGACGGCUAUCCUCUUCCACAGACGGCGGGGGGGCGGUCCCACAGGGCCAGCGGCCUGCCCCCAGACCCACAGUGGGCAAGGGGAGGGACCUGUAUGGGUGCCCUGUAUCCAGGACGCUUCCUCCUCUGGCUCUCUGGCGUGGGGGGAGACAGGGGAGGUGGACAAAGGCCCAGCGGGGGAGAGACACGGCCCCAGCCCCCGCAGCCUGGGGGGAACUGGGAACAAGAGGAGCUUUGUAGGACUCCAAACAAUGGGGCGGGGACACUGGGCGUCCGACCCGAGGGAUGGGGGUGGAGGCCCAGCCGGGGCUGGGAACUGUGAGGGUGUCAGGCUCCCGCCCCCUCCACUGCGGGACACCGGCCGGGGGCGGGGACGGGAGGGGUCUGGGGCCCCACAUUCAGGCCCCACAAUGGAGCUCUGUGUGUUGGCAGGGCCCGGGCGGGGGCACGGCUUCUGGCCCAUCCUCCAGCCUCCCUCCCACAUUCCCUUACUUCCCUCCCAGCUGGCCAGACGCUUGGGUCCCGGGUGGGGGAAGGCUGAGAGCUCCAGGCUCAGCGUCCCCCCCAGGAGAUGGUGACAGCUGCCCCCUCGUACCCUUAGGAACCCCCAGCAGCAUUGGCAUUGGCAUCGGUUUCUAUGGCAACAGUGAGACCAGUGAUGGGGUGUCCCAGCUCAGCUCUGCGCUGCUGCACGCCAACCACACACUCAGCGCCAUUGACCACCUGGUGUUGGAGACGGUGGAGAGGCUGGGUGAGGCAGUGAGGACAGAGCUGACCACCCUGGAGGAGGUGCUCGAGCCUCGCACAGAGCUGGUGGCUGCUGCCCGAGGGGCUCGGCGGCAGGCAGAGGCGGUGGCCCAGCAGCUACAGGGGCUGGCCUUCUGGCAGGGAGUGCCCCUGAGCCCCCUGCAGGUGGCUGAAGAUGUGUCCUUCGUGGAGGAAUACAGGUGGCUGGCCUAUGUCCUCUUGCUGCUCCUGGAGCUGCUGGUCUGCCUCUUCACCCUCCUGGGCCUGGCGAAGCAGAGCAAGUGGCUGGUGAUCGUGAUGACGGUCAUGAGUCUCCUGGUUCUUGUCCUGAGCUGGGGCUCCAUGGGCCUGGAGGCAGCCACGGCUGUGGGCCUCAGUGACUUCUGCUCCAAUCCAGACCCUUAUGUUCUGAACCUGACCCAGGAGGAGACAGGGCUCAGCUCAGACAUCCUGAGCUAUUAUUUCCUCUGCAACCAGGCCGUCUCCAACCCCUUCCAACAGAGGCUGACUCUGUCCCAGCGAGCUCUGGCCAACAUCCACUCCCAGCUGCUGGGCCUGGAGAGAGAAGCUGUGCCUCAGUUCCCUUCAGCGCAGAAGCCUCUGCUGUCCUUGGAGGAGACUCUGAAUGUGACAGAAGGAAACUUUCACCAGUUGGUGGCACUGCUGCACUGCCGUGGCCUGCACAAGAACCGCCCUUUGACAGGGGAAACUGAGUCACAGAGCAGUCGGCUGACGUGUGCAGUACCACAGCUGGGAGGACAGCCAGACUGGUGUGCACAGUGUGUGCUGGUGGGGGAGGGGGUGGGGGCACGGCCCGAUGACGCCCUCCCCUCAGGACUACGGCGCAGCCCUGCGGGGCCUGUGCGAAGACGCCCUGGAAGGCCUGCUCUUCCUGCUGCUCUUCUCCCUGCUGUCCGCGGGAGCACUGGCCACCGCGCUCUGCAGCCUGCCCCGCGCCUGGGCCCUCUUCCCACCCAGUGACGACUACGAUGACACAGACGAUGACGACCCUUUCAACCCGCAGCAGGAAUCCAAGCGCUUUGUGCAGUGGCAGUCGUCUAUCUGAGCCCCUCCUCCCUGCCGGACUGGACCCUGGCUCCCCUCUUCGUUCCUUCCCUGGCUGCCGGAGGAGACCCCACUAACCCAGCCUGCCUGGGCUCUGACCACUAACACUCUUGGCACGGACAGCCCGCACAGGACCGCCUCCCUGUCCUUGGCCUUGGGAGUAGCUGAGGGGGCAGACUAGGGAGUAGGGCUGGCAGGGGAGGGGGCAGACAGCCUCACACCCUUCAUCCCUGGCUGCCGGUCCCAUCCUUGGAGGGACUGAGCUGGGGGCGGGGGACAUGAGUCCCCCUGCUGCCCCCGCCACAUCCCAGUGGGCUCUGACCCCCUGAUCUCAACUCGUGGCACUAACUUGGAAAAGGGUUGAUUGAAAAUAAAAGGGAAGACUAUUUUACAAGCA